rnacentral:rRNA from 1 species
AUUGAACGCUGGCGGCAUGCCUUACACAUGCAAGUCGAACGGUAACGGGCCUUCGGGUGCCGACGAGUGGCGAACGGGUGAGUAAUGUAUCGGAACGUACCUUUCAGUGGGGGAUAACGUAGCGAAAGUUACGCUAAUACCGCAUAUUCUGUGAGCAGGAAAGCAGGGGAUCGCAAGACCUUGCGCUGAUUGAGCGGCCGAUAUCAGAUUAGCUAGUUGGUGAGGUAAAGGCUCACCAAGGCGACGAUCUGUAGCGGGUCUGAGAGGAUGAUCCGCCACGCUGGAACUGAGACACGGUCCAGACUCCUACGGGAGGCAGCAGUGGGGAAUUUUGGACAAUGGGGGCAACCCUGAUCCAGCCAUGCCGCGUGAGUGAAGAAGGCCUUCGGGUUGUAAAGCUCUUUCGGCCGGGAAGAAAUCGCAUGGGUUAAUACCCUGUGCGGAUGACGGUACCGGCAUAAGAAGCACCGGCUAACUACGUGCCAGCAGCCGCAGUAACAC